AAGUCGUAACAAGGUUUCCGUAGGUGAACCUGCGGAAGGAUCAUUAACAAAUUCACUUUUAAAAAUGACAUUCGCGAUAACAAACGAAUGUUAUACCCCAAUUUGUUGAACUUUGUUUCUUUUUCACCUGGUCGUUUUUGGCUGCGAGGGAUUUUUCCUUCGUAAGUCUAAAAAUGUCCUAUUUUUUUUAAAAAACCCAAUGAAUCCUAAUUUGACUGAAACUUUCUUUUUUUUCAAACGAAAAAAAGGAAAAAAAGUUAAUGAGAAAAAACAACUCUUAACAACGGAUAUCUUGGCUCUC
rnacentral:misc_RNA from 1 species